UACUUGAAUUUUUGCAUGGAUUACCAUUGAUCAUUAUCUUAUUUUUACUCUCGAUCUUGUCCUGUUUCAAAAGUUGAAUCUCAAUUUCUUUUCAUAUUCAUCUACCGCUUGGAGUGAAUAUAAAAUCAAGAUUCUAGAAUUGGAGAAUAGACAAUAGGUGGGUAGGGAAUAGGCAAUAAGGCAUUUUGUUUACCCAAAAAGUAGAUAAUUUGAAAUAACCAAUGUCUUUUAAUCUUUUGGGUUGUCUGCCAUUACGGUCACCUAAUUAAUUGCAUUCGCUGGAGGCUCUAAUUGGGUUUAUCUGAAAGAGUAUGAUAAUUACCAACUGGGUUUUAAUAGAUUUCUAGGGUGGAGGUGUUUGAUUGAGUGCGUAGUUGGUUUUUGUAGGAGCAUGGAGA
rnacentral:misc_RNA from 1 species